rnacentral:rRNA from 1 species
UCGGGAAUAUUGCGCAAUGGAGGAAACUCUGACGCAGUGACGCCGCGUGCAGGAAGAAGGUUUUCGGAUUGUAAACUGCUUUAGACAGGGAAGAAAAAAGACAGUACCUGUAGAAUAAGCUCCGGCUAACUACGUGCCAGCAGCCGCGGUAAUACGUAGGGAGCAAGCGUUAUCCGGAUUUAUUGGGUGUAAAGGGUGCGUAGACGGGAAGACAAGUUAGUUGUGAAAUCCCUCGGCUUAACUGAGGAACUGCAACUAAAACUAUUUUUCUUGAGUGCUGGAGAGGAAAGUGGAAUUCCUAGUGUAGCGGUGAAAUGCGUAGAUAUUAGGAAGAACACCAGUGGCGAAGGCGACUUUCUGGACAGUAACUGACGUUGAGGCACGAAAGUGUGGGGAGCAAACA